rnacentral:lncRNA from 1 species
CUGGCAUAGACCAUGCUGUCUCUUGCAGCCGAUAAUGAACAAGUCUUCUCACAUUCAUGCACUCCCAAUGACAAUUACUCUACCUGUCCCUCCCUCCCUUACUUACAGGCGUCCUCGUCUUCUGACAGCGGAGAGGAUAAAAAGAAGAAGCAGGACAAGGAUAAAAAGAAGGGCUCUUCCUGCUCCUCCUCUUCAUCUUCAUCAGGGAGCGACAAGGAGAACAAGCCCAGGAAAGAUGAGCGGGAAGGAGAAGGAGAGGACAGCUCGUCGAAGGAGCAGUGCAGCCCUGGAGGAGCACACGGGCUUGACAAGUUUGAACCCCCUAAGGGACCGUCUGCGUACAAGUUGAAGUCUGUAGGGGGUGUCGAUGACUCAAAGAGCCAUCUGGAGCCCAAAGCCAAGCCGACCUCGCUGCAGGCCUCACAGCCAGCAAUUGCCCCCAGGCCUAGCUCUCGCUUUGAGACCACCACCUCCCUCUCACUCCGGCCCCCAGACAGCCCCACUCAGAGGCCCUUGAGCCCCAUGGAGUCCCUGAUGGGGCAGCGUGACAGGGCUGGGGGGGCGUCCGGGAACAGGACCACACUGGUCAGGUCCAGCGACAUACUGCGAGGCCCUAAGCCAUAUGAAAAAUAAAAUAAAAAGGAGGAGGAUAGCGACAGUUCUGUGGCUGUUUGGGGAGAUGGUGUGGGUGAUACAAAUGAUUCCCACAGUCACAUUUGGAAGGCUGGAGAUAAAAUGGCAGAUACUGCAAAUGAUGAAAUUCAAUUCAAAUUGUUAUUGGUUGAGGGUAAAUCAGGGCCUUUUGAUGUUAUUGUUAAUGAUGUUUUUGUAAUUGACAAAAGGUGAUGGAAAAGAUGAUGAUUAAAGAAUCCCUUUCAAGAAUUGAGGAUAUGUCUGAGCGUUGAUUUCACUGCCUUUGUCAGAAAAUGCGUUUUGGGUUGUUGGAAAACAAACAUAUAAUGUUAAUUAUAAUGUUAAUGAGUAUAUUUGUAUAAAGCAACCAUAUCAGAUCACAAGGUUUAAACAUUGAAGUAUGACUACUUAGUCAUCAUCCACUUAUUUGAGCAGUAUAAACUGUUUUUGUUUGUGCGGGAGGGAGAGACAGGGCAAGAAAGUGAGAGAGAGAGAAAAGGUAGAGGGAUGUAAAAUAAACAUACACUAACAUGAGUGAGGGGUGGGGGG